CUCUUGGCUGGUUCGAAGACCACAAAACGUUAACAAAUCAAGUUGCGUGGUUCAAAUACAUUUAGCCAAAAGCAUUUUUUGUCACGACGGUCUCUGCUUCGGUAUCCCACAGCCGUUGCAGUAACUUUUACGUGCAAUUACACUC